AGAGUUUUAGGCACAAGAUUAAGAGGUGGAUGGAACUGGAGGUCAUAUCUUAAAUGAAACAAGCCAAGCAAAGAAAGUCAAAUAUCACAUAUUCUCACUCCUAAGUAGGGACUAAAAAAUGUGUACACAUGGAUGUAGAGAAUGGAAUGAUUGACAGCAAUAUAGACACACAGAUGACCCAACAUGGAAAAUAAUAUAUUGUAAAAGUCAUUCAGUUGUGGGGAAAUGUGCAGAGAGGAUUCUAUUUGGACUUGUUAUAAAUAAGCAAGAUUGUAUCAACAAUCUAGAGAGCCUCUGAAGUGUAACUACCCUUUCAGCAUUUCAGAAGACCAUCAUUAUUGUUUUGUACUACUAAGCUUUGACACGAACUAUGGGGAAGAUCUAAAAUUAAUAUACAACCAUACCUCAAAAUAUUGCAGGAUCAGUUCCAGACCACUGCCAUGAAGUCAAUAUUGCAACAAAGUGCCCAAAAAUCAUGGUCUAGUUUUCCCUGCUUUCACCCUCACAACUGGAGGGUUCAUGGAGCUCUCCAGGGGAUGACGGUUGUGCCAUGCAGAGCAGCAUUUCUAAGCAAGUGUGAGUUCAUGAGUGUGAUUGAAACUGCUGUUUCACAUAGAAAGGCCUGCGUGCAGCAGGUUGCAAACAGGUCCUGAAGGGACGGCACAUCCCAGCUGGAGCGUGUGGCCCAUCUGCCCGAUUAGCACCGUGGCUGAAAGGAGCUGACAAGCAGCUUCUAUUUUUAUCUAAUCUUUAAAUUCCAGGAACCUCAUUUCACUAAAUCAUAGCUUUCGAGUAGGAUUGUAAAAGCUUUCCCUCUGCUCAUUCCUUUUUAAUCUAGGUUUCUCUCAAGAGCUCUACUCAUGGAAGGCUCUAUUCUGAUAAACUCUCCGUCUCCCCUGCCAUUACAACGUUGAAAUGAAAAUCCCCUGAGCUAAAAGUAAAACAAAACAGUGUCUAAGGAUAACUUAGAAAUUACUCAUACUGCUAAAGGUAUUUUAACAGAUUUAAGAAUUAAUAUUUCCUGUUUUUAUAUAGUUUUUGCAUUGGGCAUAAUGCAGUACAGUAUGCAAAGAUUAGUAUAUUUACAAUUGCUUUCACUACUUUUCUUAGAGGCAAUAAAAAUGCACCUGUGAAUUUAUUAAGCAUUCCUAUCAUUGCUCUUUAAAAGUUAGUUUUAAUUUUACUAUAUAUUCAAUGUAUGUUUAUAUUUGAAAGACAUAUUUCACCCGGGUGUGGUGGCUAAUGCCUGUAAUCCCAG
rnacentral:lncRNA from 1 species